rnacentral:rRNA from 1 species
GUCUGUGGCCAUAUCAUGCUGAAUGCACCCAACCUCAUCUGAUCUUUGAAGCUAAGCAGGGUUGGUCCUGGUUAGUACUUGGAUGGGAGACAAAAUAAUCUGAGUACUAGCUGCUUCCAACG